AUGUUCAGAGGGAGAUGAUGCCACAUCUGGUCCAGCUGAUGGAAGGUCUUGAAGUUCUCUGACUGGCCUCGACUGAAGAUGGUCGUCUCACUGGAUUUAAGGUUCAGAUGCUCAGUAACAAACACCACCAAUGUGGCAACAGAUGCACAAUGAGGGACGUCUGCAGAGACUGAGAAAGAGUCUCACCACAUCCUGACAUGAGGAAAAAGACUUUAUUGAAGACUACAAUGAGAAAAACUAUCAGACAGCAGACGGCUGCAUUCAAGGCUACAGGAGGAGUCCUACGAGGACGAGCCGGUCCACCUGAUGGUGGCCAGUCGCUGCGGUUCAAAGCUAACACCGACUACAUGGACUUCUACUGGACCACACGGAGGCCUUCAAACCGGACCAACAAGUUCACCGACUCCCCGACUCGUGGGUCUGAGGACGCCGCCGAGCCUCGGUCCAGCCGGCCUCCUGUCUGUGGGUGUUUGAGUGCUGAGAGGUUUGUGGAUGUAAGUGAACGUGUCUGUGUUGAAACAGCAGCUUUGGACUCACUAACGCUGGUAAAAACCAAGAGCUCCUUUAUUUGUGACUUCCACUGAAAAAACUGAUGAAAAUAUGUUUGCCACAGUUCUGACUGAUAACAGAUUAUUAAAUAAUGAAAAUAAUUGUUUAAAUAUUCCUUUAAACAAUCCUUUUAGGUCUACAUUUCCUUUACACUGACUUCUUGGUAUAUGUACAAGUAUUUUGGGUGGAAUAUACCAUUAAGCCCGAUGUUCAAGGGUUCUUCUGGGAAUAUACCAUUAAAC
ensembl:lncRNA